ensembl:rRNA 5S_rRNA 5S ribosomal RNA
GUCUACGGCCAUACCACCCUGAACAUGCCUGGUCUCAUCUGAUCUCAGAAGCUGAGCUAAGCAAAGCAGGGGUGGGCCUGGUUAGUACUUGGAUGGGAGAGUGCCAUACAUGGGCUCAAAUGAAUGCUGAGAAG